GUAGGAGCCAUGUCAACAUGGACACGAGCAUGGAAGGGAAAUGGGUCAAAGGUAAAUACGGAAGCUAUGCACGAACUCGGACGCACGAGGUUUUAUACGGAUUUCUUCUACCACGAAUGAAGAGAAGCGGACAUGGAUCGAGUUGAUAGCGAGGAUUGUAUGGGAAAGAACGGUCACCUAGCUUGGAUUAUGUAACACUUGUAGAAUUAUUUUACCAUGAAUGU
rnacentral:lncRNA from 1 species